rnacentral:rRNA from 1 species
GAUGAACGCUGACAGAAUGCUUAACACAUGCAAGUCAACUUGAACUUCGGUUUGGGUGGCGGACGGGUGAGUAACGCGUAAAGAACUUGCCUCACAGUUAGGGACAACAUUUGGAAACGAAUGCUAAUACCUGAUAUUAUGAUUUUAGGGCAUCCUAGAAUUAUGAAAGCUAUAUGCGCUGUGAGAGAGCUUUGCGUCCCAUUAGCUAGUUGGAGAGGUAACGGCUCACCAAGGCGAUGAUGGGUAGCCGGCCUGAGAGGGUGAACGGCCACAAGGGGACUGAGGCACGGCCCUUACUCCUACGGGAGGCAGCAGUGGGGAAUAUUGGACAAUGGACCAAGAGUCUGAUCCAGCAAUUCUGUGUGCACGAUGAAGUUUUUCGGAAUGUAAAGUGCUUUCAGUUGGGAAGAAAAAAAUGACGGUACCAACAGAAGAAGUGACGGCUAAAUACGUGCCAGCAGCCGCGGUAAUACGUAUGUCACAAGCGUUAUCCGGAUUUAUUGGGCGUAAAGCGCGUCUAGGUGGUUAUAUAAGUCUGAUGUGAAAAUGCAGGGCUCAACUCUGUAUUGCGUUGGAAACUGUGUAACUAGAGUACUGGAGAGGUAAGCGGAACUACAAGUGUAGAGGUGAAAUUCGUAGAUAUUUGUAGGAAUGCCGAUGGGGAAGCCAGCUUACUGGACAGAUACUGACGCUGAAGCGCGAAAGCAUGGGUAGCAAACAGG